GAUGAACGCUGGCGGCGUGCCUAAUACAUGCAAGUCGAGCGAACAGACGAGGAGCUUGCUCCUCUGACGUUAGCGGAGGACGGGAGAAUAACACGUGGAUAACCUCCCUAUAAGACUGGGAUAACUUCGGGAAACCGGAGCUAAUACCGUAUAAUCUCUUGAACCGCAUGGUUCAAUAGUGAAAGACGGUUUUGCUGUCUCUUCUCGAUGGUUCCGCGCCGCAUUAGCUAGUUGGUAAGGUAACGGCUUACCAAGGCAACGAUGCGUAGCCGACCUGAGAGGGUGAUCGGCCACACUGGAGCUGAGACACGGUCCAGACUCCUACGGGAGGCAGCAGUAGGGUAUCUUCCGCAAUGGGCGAAAGCCUGACAGAGCAACGGCGCGUGAGAGAUGAAGGUCUUCGGAUCGUAAAACUCUGUUAUUAGGGAUGAACAAAUGUGUAAGUAACUAUGCACGUCGUGACGGUAACUAAUCAGAAAGCCACGGCUAACUACGUG
rnacentral:rRNA from 1 species